rnacentral:rRNA from 1 species
AGUGAACGCUGGCGGCAGGCCUAAUACAUGCAAGUCGAACGGCAGCACAGCAGAGCUUGCUCUGUGGGUGGCGAGUGGCGGACGGGUGAGGAAUACAUGGGAAUCUGCCCAGUCGUGGGGGAUAACGUAUGGAAACGUACGCUAAUACCGCAUGCGCCCUUUGGGGGAAAGCCGGGGACCUUCGGGCCUGGCGCGAUUGGAUGAGCCCAUGUUCGAUUAGCUAGUUGGCGGGGUAAAGGCCCACCAAGGCGACGAUCGAUAGCUGGUCUGAGAGGAUGAUCAGCCACUCUGGGACUGAGACACGGCCCAGACUCCUACGGGAGGCAGCAGUAGGGAAUAUUGGACAAUGGGCGCAAGCCUGAUCCAGCCAUGCCGCGUGAGUGAAGAAGGCCCUCGGGUUGUAAAGCUCUUUUGUCCGGAAAGAAAAGCAUUCGGUUAAUACCCGGGUGUUCUGACGGUACCGGAAGAAUAAGCACCGGCUAACUUCGUG